rnacentral:misc_RNA from 1 species
AUAGUAUUUCAGAAUUUAUAAAUGGACGUUUCUACAUUUUAUAAGAAACGGAAAAAAGAAAAGGAAGAUAUUGAAAGUAGUUCCUCCAAAGUUCAAAGGCAAUUGGCAAGAAUAGAAUAUUCAAUUUUGGCUCCUUCAUCGAAACUCAAGUUGUUUCAUAAACAGGAGGAUGCAAUUAAAUACAGAGGAUCUGAUAAUUCACUCGGGGUAUUUUCUUUCGAGCAUUCUACAGGUGGUAAGCGAAUGUUCCUUGUAUCUGGCGAGCUUGUAUUUUGGAAUCAUUACAUAGAUCUAACUAACCUUCAGAGGAGACACUACGAGGUUAUUGCUGAGCAGAGACCCUGUAAACUGUACCUAGAUCUAGAGUUUAAGAAACGUGAUAAUGAAAAAUUGGAUGGAAACACAAUGGUGAAUAAUCUUAUUCAGGCGUUAAAUACAUUUCUCCAGAAAACCCUCCAGGUUACAGGAUACAAGGAGGAUAUAUUGAUCCUUGACUCAAGUUCCGAGAAAAAGUUUUCUAAUCACCUGAUCUACCCUGGGCUAGUGUUUAGGAACAACCAGGAGAUGGGUCAUCUUAUCAGAAGUUUUGUGGAUAGUUUGAUACCAGUUGAAGCAAAGCAGUUUCAAGUGAAAAAGGGGGAUGAGAUACAAUGGUUUAUUGAUCUAGGGGUUUACACAAAAAAUAGAAAUUUCCGUUUAUAUCUCUCUGCUAAAUACGGAAAAUCAGAAAUUUUAACAGUGUCCGCUAAUGAUAUUUACACAGUCAAACUUUUAGAAGAAAAUCAUCACCAACACAAAUUUGAUCUUGAAAAGGAAAUCUUUUUUUCCUCUCUUGUCACAUAUACUCCGGGAAUCACAGACUUUAUUUCAUUCAAAACUGAACUAACCCAAAGCUGCAGGAAGAAAAGUGAACAACCCGCGGCAAAACUGACAAAUCUGCGCACUGGUGAAAAAUCGCCUUUUCUUGAGAUUGAUGAUUUUGUGAUGAAAAUAAUUGCUCCUGGUUUUAUCAGGAAAUGGAACUAUAUUCAGGAAGAAUCAAUAAUUAUUUAUGACGUUGGGGGAACAAGAUACUGUGGCAAUGUGGGUAGAGAGCAUAAAUCCAAUAAUAUCAGGUUUGUUUGUAGUCUAAAACUGGGAAUCCUAAACCAGAAAUGUUAUGACCCAGACUGUGCACAUUAUAGGGGACCUGAUAUCCCUAUUGCCCCCGAGCUUCUGCCCUGGACCCAGUUUACAGAUUGGGACCCUGAGAGUACUGGAGAGGGACCAGGAGACCCUGAAGGUACUAGAGAGAAGGAGGACCCUCAAUGAUGGCUGGUGGAGGGACCAGGGGACCCUGAUGGUACUGGAGAAAAGGAGGACUCUCUUCGAGGGCUUGGGAAAGGACCGGGGACUCUGAGCUUACAGGAGGGGAGGACCCUCUUCGCGGGCUUGGGGAAGGACCAGGGGACCCUAAUGGUACUGUAGAGGAAGACCCUCUACGAGGUCUUUGGGAGGGACACCGAACUAGGGGACCCUAAAGAUACUGGAGAGGAGGGCCCUCUACUAAACAAGUCCUGAAAGAUUGUGAUAAAGACGAAGAAACUGUAAUUUGUUAGUUGGUUGCAAAUAAUAUUAAGUGUGGAUCGUGAGUAUUUCGACAUGUGGUGCUACAUUUUGAUAAAUUUUUGUAAAAUUAUGAACCAGUGAUAUUGAUAAUAUGUGAGUGAUUAUAAAACGUAAUUUAUAUAUCUACAAUAAAUCAAAUACUUGAAA